rnacentral:rRNA from 1 species
GACGAACGCUGGCGGCGUGCUUAACACAUGCAAGUCGAACGGAAAGGCCCUGCUUUUGUUGGUUUCUCGAGUGCCGAACGGGUGAGUAACACGUGAGUAACCUGCCCUUGUCUUUGGGAUAACUUCAGGAAACUGGGGCUAAUACCGGAUAUGAGCUCCUGCUGCAUGGUGUGGGUUGGAAAGUUUCGGCGGUUGUGGCUCGUCUCGCGGCUUAUCAGCUAGUUUGUGGGGUAGUGGCUUUCCAAGGGUUUGACGGGUAGCCGGCCUGAGAGGGUGACCGGGGUCAAUGGGACUGAGGUACGGCCCAGAAGGGUACGGGAGGCAGUGGUGGGGAAUAUGACAGAGUGGGCGGAAGCCAGAGGAAGAGACGCCGCGAGCGUGAUAACGGCCUUCGGGUGGUAAACAGCUUUGGCAGGUGACGAGGAGUGAGUGACGGUAAUGGGUAAAGAAGCACCGGCUAACUACGUG